rnacentral:tRNA from 2 species
GGAGAUGUGGCUGAGCGGUUGAAGGCAGCAGUUUCGAAAACUGCCGUGGGGGUAACCCCACCAGAGGUUCGAAUCCUCUCAUCUCCG